ACAUGCAAGUCGAACGGUAACAGGAAGCAGCUUGCUGCUUCGGCUGACGAGUGGCGGACGGGUGAGUAAUGUCUGGGAAACUGCCUGAUGGAGGGGGAUAACGUACUGGAAACGGUAGCUAAUACCGCAUAACGUCGCAAGACCAAAGAGGGGGACCUUCGGGCCUCUUGCCAUCAGAUGUGCCCAGAUGGGAUUAGCUUGUUGGUGGGGUAACGGCUCACCAAGGCGACGAUCCCUAGCUGGUCUGAGAGGAUGACCAGCCACACUGGAACUGAGACACGGUCCAGACUCCUACGGGAGGCAGCAGUGGGGAAUAUUGCACAAUGGGCGCAAGCCUGAUGCAGCCAUGCCGCGUGUAAUGAAGAAGGCCUUCGGGUUGUAAAGUACUUUCAGCGGGGAGGAAGGUGUUGUGGUUAAUAACCGCAGCAAUUGACGUUACCCGCAGAAGAAGCACCGGCUAACUCCGUGCCAGCAGCCGC
rnacentral:rRNA from 1 species